AGUGACAAAGUACAAAACCGUUCAUUCUUCUAAUGUGUAUAAUGACUACAUCACGUUGUUUGUUCUGUAUUCUACCGGAAGAAGUGAAAAAACGCAACCCACUGCGUCAUUUGAGUCAGAGCGCAUCCUGCUCCUCCCAUUUGGUUCGAGGGUGAGAACACGAUGCAGUUAUUUAUGAGGAGGCUGAUUUAACUUCCAAAAAGGGGUCCUGGCUCGACCCAAGUCGAUAUGAACAUGCCAGCAUGGCAUGCAUGGCAGCCUGCAAGUAAGGAGCGGGAGGUGAAUACGACUGGAGCGUUAAUACAACAAUUUUAUCUGUAUUAGGUAUGCGGGGAGGACGUCCCAAAAAGAAGACAGCAGCAGUGGAGAAUGUGGAGAUGGAUUCUAUGGAAGAGGAGCUCAUUGCAGAUGCUAGUGGUGUGUCCAUUGCCCCAACUAAACUCCUGGCAAACAAAAAAAAUGCAGACGAGUUGGAGCUCUAUAAGCUGAAGACAGCCUGGCAACAGGAGAGGAUUGAUGAACUGACCGGGAGAGAGAUUUUCUGAGAGAACAGUUGGCAGCAGCUCUUAAGAAAGAUGGUGCAGCAUCCACCUCCACCCUGAACGAGGCACCCAACUCCUCCCAGAAACGCAAGACUUCACGUUCCUCUUCUGAUGAUUCAGUGGAAUCGUCCUCCAGCAGUGAGAGUGAGUCUGAGUCGGAGUCUGACUCUGUCUCUCCCGACUCGUCUCCGGACAAAAGAAGAACAAGAAGAAGACAGGGAAAGGGAAAAAGAAAGUGAAGAAGUCGAAGGAAAAGGAGAUGAGCCCAAAGGCACGCCAGAGAGCCCUGAAUCCGAAGCAGGCAGUGCUCAGGUAUCAAAAAAUACUAAAGGUAUUCCGUAAAGGAGGGACCGUGGGUGCUGCGUUCUCAACCGUUGGUGUAGAUCGUAACACAGUGGUGGCCACUGCACCCAUUGCUGAGCUUUUUAUCGCUGCACCAAACAGGUACAAGGAGAUCUUAGAUGGGCACAAAACUGAUCGUGUAAAACUAGCAGUGUUGGCUUCUGAGUGAGAGGAUUCUGCUAUAAAGGAGAAUGUGAAAACACUUAAAAACAACAACAAGCUGCUGCCCCUCACCAAGAAGUGAGUUUGGGUCAAACAGAAUCAGACAGCCACCUACUUCUGAUGUGUGUCUGCCCUAAAGAGAGAGUUCACCAGUUUACUUGAAAUGUUAAGAUUGUGUAUUUGAAAGAGCUUGUAUUUUAUUAUAUUUUCUAUUUUAUACUAUCACAGACUGUUAUUACUUGAAAAUGUUUGUCAAGUGUACUUGAAAAUUUAAAGGUUGCAUUUGUUUAAAACGUGUAUUGUAUUGUUUGGGACCAAUAAAACUGACAUUUUGU
ensembl:lncRNA